UCUUUUCAGGCCGUCUUCGGUGCCUCUGGUAACAGAGGUGAAACUGGGAAUGCGGUGCGGCGAGAAAUCGCCAAUGCCGCGGCUGCCCCCGCAACUGUAGGCGGACUGUGCCCGAUCGAUAAGCCACUGAUGCCGUGCAUCGGGAAGGCGAUCGGGGACCAUGUCCGUGAGCCAGGAGACCGGCCGAAGACGCUGGUCCAAC
rnacentral:ncRNA from 2 species